rnacentral:lncRNA from 1 species
UUCUUUUUUCCAAACCUCCACUUACCAAUACCAAUGAUCCACUCCACACAUCACGAAGGUUUCCUGCUCUUCUAAGACACAGUGAUUUAGAAUUUCUGUUCAAGCAAGAGAACUAAAGACUUCUUUAAAGAAGAGAAGGCUUUUCUUUUUCUGGAAAAUCAGAUGAAUGAGGACAUUCGAAAGUAAAGAAUCUCUGCAUUUUGACUAGAGAGAAUUUUCUACCAGGAUGGGAUAGAAUGAUCACAAUGGAUUAUAGAGUGUGUAUGGUGUGGUGUGGUAUGUGUGUGUGAGUGCACACACACGUGCUUUCCCCAGUUUGGAAGUGAUUUGUUGGGGAGUUCUCUUGUUCUCAGGAAGUCUUAAUCCUUUCUGAUCAGCACUUACAUGUCAACCUU